rnacentral:rRNA from 1 species
GGUGAACGCUAGCGGCAGGCUUAACACAUGCAAGUCGAGGGGUAGAGGCUUUCGGGCCUUGAGACCGGCGCACGGGUGCGUAACGCGUAUGCAAUCUGCCCUGUACUGAGGGAUAGCCCAGAGAAAUUUGGAUUAACACCUCAUAGUAUUUUAGUGUGGCAUCCCAUUAUUAUUCACGGUUACGGUACAAGAUGAGUAUGCGUCCCAUUAGCUAGUUGGUAUGGUAACGGCAUACCAAGGCUACGAUGGGUAGGGGUCCUGAGAGGGAGAUCCCCCACACUUGUACUGAGACACGGACCAGACUCCUACGGGAGGCAGCAGUGAGGAAUAUUGGUCAAUGGUCGCAAGACUGAACCAGCCAUGCCGCGUGCAGGAUGAAGCAUCUAUGGUGUGUAAACUGCUUUUGUACGGGAAGAAACACCGCUACGUGUAGCGGCUUGACGGUACCGUAAGAAUAAGGAUCGGCUAACUCCGUGCCAGCAGCCGCGGUAACAC